CGGCGCGUAACUUAACGGCGAAAGGUCCUGACUCUUAAUCAGCGAGAUGCAGGUUCGAAUCCUGCCGCGCCGACCA
rnacentral:tRNA from 1 species